rnacentral:lncRNA from 1 species
UGACGGUAGAGAUAAUGGCGGAGGAAAUGACCGACAGCGGAGAUAAUGGCGAUGGAUAUGAGUUACGCCGGAGAUGAUGAUGUCGGGGAUGAAAGACGACGUCGAGAGUCGGAGAAACGACGCCCAGAGUCAGAGACGACGUCGAUUUUGAAAUCCUGAUUUCAAUUUUUUGUUUUAAUUUAAUUAAUCAGAGAGGAGAAAAGGGGCAUAAGGGUAAAUGAUCUCAUUAAAUGAAACUCAUUUUUGUGAUUUUUGGCCUUGAAUGCUAGUUUGGGAAGAGAAACUUGGUUUGAAUCUAUCUAGGGCUAUUUCUCAUCUUUUUAUCUAAAACUAUUUUUAAUAAAAAAAGAAAAUCAAAAAAUCAGAGAGAAACAGCCUUA